rnacentral:rRNA from 2 species
GUCGAACGCGUUGGCCCAAUUGAUUGAUGGUGCUUGCACCUGAUUGAUUUUGGUCGCCAACGAGUGGCGGACGGGUGAGUAACACGUAGGUAACCUGCCCAGAAGCGGGGGACAACAUUUGGAAACAGAUGCUAAUACCGCAUAACAGCGUUGUUCGCAUGAACAACGCUUAAAAGAUGGCUUCUCGCUAUCACUUCUGGAUGGACCUGCGGUGCAUUAGCUUGUUGGUGGGGUAACGGCCUACCAAGGCGAUGAUGCAUAGCCGAGUUGAGAGACUGAUCGGCCACAAUGGGACUGAGACACGGCCCAUACUCCUACGGGAGGCAGCAGUAGGGAAUCUUCCACAAUGGGCGCAAGCCUGAUGGAGCAACACCGCGUGAGUGAAGAAGGGUUUCGGCUCGUAAAGCUCUGUUGUUAAAGAAGAACACGUAUGAGAGUAACUGUUCAUACGUUGACGGUAUUUAACCAGAAAGUCACGGCUAACUACGUGCCAGCAGCCGCGGUAAUACGUAGGUGGCAAGCGUUAUCCGGAUUUAUUGGGCGUAAAGAGAGUGCAGGCGGUUUUCUAAGUCUGAUGUGAAAGCCUUCGGCUUAACCGGAGAAGUGCAUCGGAAACUGGAUAACUUGAGUGCAGAAAAAGGGUAGUG